CAGACCUCUGAUCAGGGAAGACUACCCGCUGAGUUUAAGCAUAUCACUAAGCGGAGGA
rnacentral:rRNA from 4 species